rnacentral:tRNA from 1 species
GGGGAUGUAGUUGAGUGGUACAACACUUGCCUUCAUAGAUAAGGCCUUGGUUGGAUGCCUAGCAUCUCUU